AAAACAAACAAACAAACAAAGCAAAACAAAACAAAACAAAAAAGUGCUUUAUUCAGUGAAUGAUAUAGAGCCUGUAGACUGCUUUGUCUCCAAAUACAGGUGGAGCAACUGGGGAGUUAAACCCAGCUUCAUUCUCACACACUCAUGAUACAUCAGUCCUGGAGGUCUCUGAAGAAGAAUAUCAGAAUAUUUGGAUGGAGUGAACAUGCAAUAUGGAAACAGCUGUGAAACUGUGUAGCAAAGGAUGCAGAGGAAAGCAUCCACAUUUUCUGCUGAAUCCAUGAUGAGUAAGUAUGAUGUAUAUUUAUGUUUACAUGUGUAUUAGCUAUAUUUGCAGGU